UACAGAGGUCUCAAGCGUUGUUCGGAUUCACUGGGCUUAAAGGGCGCGUAGGCGGACGAGCAAGUCCGGGGUGAAAUCUUUCGGCUCAACCGGAAAAGUGCCUGGGAAACUGCUCGUCUUGAGGGAGGUAGGGGCCUGUGGAACUUCCGGUGGAGCGGUGAAAUGCGUUGAUAUCGGAAGGAACGCCGGUGGCGAAAGCGACGGGCUGGCCCUCCACUGACGCUGAGGCGCGAAAGCCAGGGGAGCGAACGGG
rnacentral:rRNA from 1 species